rnacentral:rRNA from 1 species
UACGGAGGGUGCAAGCGUUGUUCGGAUUUAUUGGGCGUAAAGCGCGUGUAGGCGGUCUUUUAAGUCUGAUGUGAAAGCCCCGGGCUCAACCCGGGAAGUGCAUUGGAUACUGGGAGACUUGAAUACGGGAGAGGGUAGUGGAAUUCCUAGUGUAGGAGUGAAAUCCGUAGAUAUUAGGAGGAACACCGGUGGCGAAGGCGGCUACCUGGACCGAUAUUGACGCUGAGACGCGAAAGCGUGGGGAGCAAAC